rnacentral:tRNA from 2 species
AGAUCAAUCUCUUGAAAAAUCAAUGGAUUGCCUGUAUCGUACGGGGGCUUGGUUCUGGCUUUUAAUCCGUUGGUCACAGGUUCGAAUCCCGUACGGCCUACCA